rnacentral:rRNA from 1 species
UACGGAGGAUUCAAGCGUUAUCCGGAUUUAUUGGGUUUAAAGGGUGCGUAGGCGGUCGGAUAAGUUAGAGGUGAAAUCCCGAGGCUCAACUUCGGAAUUGCCUCUGAUACUGUUCGGCUAGAGAGUAGUUGCGGUAGGCGGAAUUCCCGGUGUAGCGGUGGAAUGCGCAGAUAUCGGGAAGAACACCGAUGGCGAAGGCAGCCUGCUGGGCCGUCACUGACGCUGAGGCGCGAAAGCUGGGGGAGCGAACAGG